UAGAAAUGGUGUCUGUUGGGUUGC
rnacentral:piRNA from 1 species